AGUGAACGCUGGCGGUAGGCCUAACACAUGCAAGUCGAACGGCAACACAGUAAUAGCUUGCUCUGACGGGGGGCGGGUGGCGGACGGGUGAGGAAUACAUCGUAAUCUACUUUUUCGUAUGAGUUAAGGUAGGUAAACUUACUCUAGUACCGCAGACGACCUACGGUUGAAAGCAGGGGAUCGUCGGACCUUGCGCGAUUGAAUGAGCUGAUGUCGUAUUAGCUAGUGGGCGGGGUAAAGGCCCACCAAGGCGACGAUCCGUAGCUGGUCUGAGAGACUGAUCACCCACACUGGAACUGGAACACGGUCCAUACUCCUGCGGGAGGCAGCAGUGGGGAAUAUUGGACAAUGGUCGCAAGCAUGAUCCAGUGAUCGCGCGUGGGUGACGAAGGCCUUCGGGUUGUAAAGCCGUUUUGUUGGGAAAGAACAGCAUCAGGCUAAUACCCCGCUGUUCUGACGGUAACCAAAGAAUAAGCACCGGCUAACUUCGUG
rnacentral:rRNA from 1 species